rnacentral:tRNA from 1 species
CGGUGCGUGGCUCAGCUUUGGUAGAGCGCGUCGUUCGGGACGACGAAGUCGCAGGUUCGAAUCCUGUCGCACCGA